UACGUAGGUGGCAAGCGUUGUCCGGAUUUACUGGGCGUAAAGAGCGCGCAGGCGGUCGUUCAAGUCGCGUGUGAAAGCCCCCGGCUCAACUGGGGAGGGUCACGCGAUACUGAUCGACUGGAAGGCAGGAGAGGGUAGUGGAAUUCCCGGUGUAGUGGUGAAAUGCGUAGAUAUCGGGAGGAACACCAGUGGCGAAGGCGACUACCUGGCCUGUUCUGACGCUGAGGCGCGAAAGCUAGGGGAGCGAACAGG
rnacentral:rRNA from 1 species